rnacentral:other from 1 species
CGCCUCCUGCAGUGUUCGAUGCCGACCCGGCACCUUUCGACCCUAAAUUUUUGACUCGGGGUCGCGCUCUGUAGGCAGCAUUUGUGCAGGGCCGUUUACACGGUAAGUCUGUUGCUGCUACGGCUGACUCCACCUGUUGCUCCGGUUCGAGAGCGACGGUCUGUAACGGCACAGGCGGGAGGCGC